GUGCUUGCUUUGGCAGCACAUAUACUAAAAUUGGAAUGAUACAGAGAAGAUUAGCAUGGCCCCUGUGCAAGGAUGACAUGCAAAUUUGUGAAGUGUUCCAUAUUUUU
ensembl:snRNA U6 U6 spliceosomal RNA